rnacentral:rRNA from 1 species
CGUAGGGUGCGAGCGUUAAUCGGAAUUACUGGGCGUAAAGCGUGCGCAGGCGGUUUUGUAAGACAGAUGUGAAAUCCCCGGGCUCAACCUGGGACCUGCAUUUGUGACUGCAAGGCUAGAGUACGGUAGAGGGGGAUGGAAUUCCGCGUGUAGCAGUGAAAUGCGUAGAUAUGCGGAGGAACACCGAUGGCGAAGGCAAUCCCCUGGACCUGUACUGACGCUCAUGCGCGAAAGCGUGGGGAGCAAACAGGAUUAGAUACCCUGGUAGUCCACGCCCUAAACGAUGUCAACUGGUUGUUGGGUCUUUACUGACUCAGUAACGAAGCUAACGCGUGAAGUUGACCGCCUGGGGAGUACGGCCGCAAGGUUG